UCCUGCAAUCUUUAGGAGAAUGUGCCCCGACUAGCUGGAGAAUGUUCCCAGACCAGCCUCCUGAGGUAACAUGAACGACUUGUCCAUGUGCACGAGAAAGAGGGACAAGCAGGGGAGAACUCAGUUGUCCCCCCGGAGGCCAUUACCCAUCAGCCAAUAGCCAACAGCCAGCUGCCCAGCAGAUAUGUGGACACCACAAAAAUUGCCGUUGGUAGAAACAGCUCUUCCCAGUAAUGGAGAUCCUUUCAAAAUGAUGUGUAAACCCGAGCUGUCCGAAAAUAUCAGAAUGGAUGGGAGCUAUUUGUAAAUGCUCCUCUGCACUGAAUGUGGUUAAGAAAGAGGAGGGUGAGGAGAAGCUGGGUAGGCAUGCACUGCCUGCUACAACUGGUGCUCCCCAAGUGUUCUUUCUGUCUCCUGUCUGGUGGGACAUGAUGACAAGCUAGACGAGCAAUCAUCUGCAGCAGCAUGAUGCACUUAGAGGCCAUCAAAAUGCAGUCCAUGGCCAGGGACCUGAACGCAAAGCCUGGGGAUUCAUAGCAGGUGAAGGGAUGGGUUUAUGACCACUUUUAAGGUUGCUGCAGAGUAUAUGAGCUGUGGUCAAAAUAUAUGUGAAUAUUUAAGUAGAAAAAUUCCAACAAAGGGGCUGGGGAUUUAGCUCAGCAGCAUAAGCACCUGCCUUGCAAGCAGGCAGUCGUGAGUUCGAUCCCUGGUACCGAUAAAAAAGAAAAAGACAAAAAAAAAAAAAAAUUCCAACAAAAGGCAUGCCAUUAAUGCCUUUCAAAAUACCCUACUAGAGAGCAAAGUAAAAAUGGCAGAUAGAUAAGAACAGAUUACAGAGGCUCCCUGAGGCAGACUCAGAUGCCAAAAUAACACAGCAUGGGGAAUCCCAGACAGAGGGAGAUGGAUCCUCUCGACCUAGGAAGAAACUAAAGCAAAAAGAACCAGUCAAACAUGCAGUGCUGGGGCUGGGGAUUUAGCUCAGUGGCUUAAGCGCCUUCCUGGCAAGCCCAAGGUCAUGAGUUUGAUCCCCAGUACCAAAAAAACAAAAACAAAAACAAACAAACAAACAAACAUUCAGUGCCAGGGCUACUAUUGAGGCAGCUAAGAUUCUGUGCUCUCACGGGCCCUAAUUCCUGCCACUUCGACUUGUGGGAACUACAGUUGCACCAAAGUUGGAGGUUGGCGAGCCCAACAGAGAACAGAGCUGGCAAGGGACCUGCAUCAACCUGCAGUGAGUACUGGGAAUACAACCUUUCCACAGGAAAGGGGCACCAAUGGGAUGAAUCCGGUAAGACUGGCAAGAACAAGGAACGUCAGUGACUUCAGUCAGUUGUUCCCUUCCCAGACGAGAUUAGUGGGGUAUGCUUGGUGUGGGUCACACCCCUGGCUGAGACCCAAUAAGCUGUCCCAAACCAGUUCCCUACACGCGGUGUAUACUAAGGCAGUGAAGGCCUCAGCAGGUUGACUGACCCGGAGGGGAAGAACCAGUAUAUGCCGCCCCUGUUUGCACCUCAAUAACACACUGGAAUGGGCAGGAUCACCUAGCCAGUGUGCUUCAGAAGAACCAUAACCAACAAGCAAAGGGACUGGGAUCUCCUCUAUAUGCCUGUAUGGAAGAAACAAAAACUAUGAGAAGAGGAAGCAACAAGAAAAAGUCCCCAGCCCCUAACCCUGAGAACACUAAUCCAGGAGAGGUAAAUACAAAAGAGACUGAGGACAGCAAACAUGCAAUAUCAGAUAUGGCAUCAGUGGACACAAAGAGAUAUCUUCGGGACCUCAUAGACGAGUUUAAAAGUGAAAUAUUUAACCAAGUAAAGCAAGAUAUAAGUAGAUUUAAAAAAGAAAUGCUAAGCAUCUCUCAAGAAGACACAGAUGGAAGAAUGGAGGAGCACAAAAAAAGGAGAGAAAUGUUUGAUGAAGAAUAUAAAGAAAACAUGAAUUAGGUUCAAAGAGAUUACCAGGAAAUAAAAAACUCCAUUGAAAGCUGGCAAAACUGCUUGAAAGAAACUAAGGAUAGAUUAUCUGAACUAGAAGAUAGGUUUGCAAUGUGUGAUCAUGAAAGGAAAGAUUUCUUAAAAAUAACAAGGAAACAGGCAGUAACAAUACAAAGACUAGAAGACGACAAGAGGAUCUAUAACUUAAGAAUAAAGAAUGUGAAUGAAGAAGCAGGAGUACAAACAAAGAAACUAUAAAGGCUACUCACAGAAAUAAUUAAGGAAAACUUCCCAAGCAUAGGAAAAGGAAAUGAUAUUCAGAUGUAUGAGGCAUACAGAACUCUAGCCACCUACAACCAAAACAGAGCUAUACCCAGGCAUACAGUAAUAAAGAUCCCAGAAAUUCAGUAUAAGAACAGAAUAUUAAAAGCCAUCAGACAAAAGAAAUAGAUCACCUAUAAAGGAAAAUCUAUCAAAAUCACAGCAGACUUCUCGACACAGACCACCAAAUCAAGAAGCGCUUGGAGCAAAGUAUUCCAAGCCCUGAAAGAAAAUAACCUCCAGCCCAGAUUGAUUUAACCUGAAAAACUGUCUCUAGAAAUUAAUAGAGAAACAAGAUACUUCCAAGACAAAGAGGAACCAGGGGGAAUUCAUGAUUACCAAUCCAACUCUACAGAGACUACUGAAGGACAUUAUAUAUAGAGAGAAAAGUACCAGGAUUCCAGGAACAGUGGCAGAGAGGCCUCAAUGAAAGGAACAGAAAGUGGAAUGAAGGAGAAAAGCAGACAACUAAUGGCAGAAAAAGAGCACAACAGAAAUGAGGCAGAGAAAGGUUGGCUAUAAUGUCUAAUACAGAUGGCCUUUGAUACACUAAAAAAAAGAGAGAAACAUAGGCAGAGUAGAUCAGGAGGUAGGGUCCACCGAGAUGCUCGUUAUAGAAAAUAUAAGUAAACUGAAAAAGGGUUUAUGGACUGAAAAUAAAAUAUGAGAAAACAAUGCUCUAUGUGACAGGGAACCAGAAAGUAAUAGGGGCAACUAGACCAGAAUUUGAGGAUAGGUUGGAAAGACAAGUUUUAAAUAGGUAAAGGAAUACAACUAGAGACCAAGUCCAGGAGGGAGAAGGUUUGGAACCACUUAGGUAAAUAGCAGGUUCCCUCGCCAAUCUAAAAACUGAGGGUGUUGGUGAGACCCAAAAAUGCACAGUGCACCCUGGGGGAGUGAAAGAGGAGGAAUAGUCUUAAAAAAGAUGGCAAAA